GAGCAGCUUUCUCCUCAGCACAGACCUUGGGGACACUGCCUCCCUUUGAGCAGAAUAGAUUACUGAUUUUGGGCACUCCAAGAUUUUGGGAGAGACCUCUCUCGUGAGAACCUUAUGUGGAACCCCCACCUGCUUGGCUCCUGAAGUUCUUGUUUCUGUUGGACUGCUGGGUUUUAGGAGUUAUUCUUUUUAUCUGCCUUAGUGGGUAUCCACCUUUCUCUGAGCAUAGGACUCAAGUGUCACUGAAGGAUCAGAUCUCCAGUGGAAAACACAACUUCAUUCCUAAAGUCUGGGCAGAAGUCUCAGAGAAAGGUGGCUGAGGAGACCUCAGAAUCAUGGCAGGAGGUGAAAGGCACUUCUUACAUGGUGGCGGCAAGAGAAAAUGAGGAAGAUGCAAAAGCGGAAACCCCUGAUAAAGCCAUCAGAUCUUGUGAGACUUAUUCACUACCACGAGAACAGUAUGGGGGGGAACCACCCCCAUGAUUCAAUUAUCUCCCACGAGGUCCCUCCCACAACACAUAGGAAUUAUGGGCGUACAAUUCAAGAUGAGAUUUGG